CCUACGGGAGGCAGCAGUGGGGAAUCUUGCGCAAUGGGCGAAAGCCUGACGCAGCAACGCCGCGUGCGGGAAGAAGGCUUUCGGGCUGUAAACCGCUUUCAGCAGGAACGAAAAUGACGGUACCUGCAGAAGAAGGAGCGGCCAACUAUGUGCCAGCAGCCGCGGUGAUACAUAGGCUUCAAGCGUUGUCCGGAUUUAUUGGGCGUAAAGAGUUCGUAGGCGGUCGAGUAAGUCGGGUGUGAAAAUUCUGGGCUCAACCCAGAGACGCCACCCGAUACUGCUUGACUUGAGUUCGAUAGGGGAGUGGGGAAUUCCUAGUGUAGCGGUGAAAUGCGCAGAUAUUAGGAGGAACACCGGUGGCGAAGGCGCCACUCUGGAUCGAUACUGACGCUGAGGAACGAAAGCAUGGGUAGCAAACAGGAUUAGAUACCCUGGUAGUCCAUGCCGUAAACGGUGGGCACUAGGUGUGGGUUUCUAUUAACGAAAUCCGCGCCGUCGCUAACGCAUUAAGUGCCCCGCCUGGGGAGUACGGUCGCAAGACUAAAAACUUAAAUGAAUUGACGG
rnacentral:rRNA from 1 species